AACAGAUCCCCCUCCAAAGGCUCCAGAAAUGAACACGGCCCUACUGACACCUUGAUCUCAGCCCAGUGAGACCCACAUCGGACUCCUGAACCACAGAAGCGUAAGACAAUAAAUUUUCGUUCUUUUAAACCACCCGGUCUGCAGUUCUGUUACAGCAGCCAUAGAAAACCCAUACAGCUAUGAGGGAGGAUUGUGUUUAACUGAAUUUUGCAGUUGAAAAAACUAAAGUGCUAAGAAGUGGAGUCAUUUACUCAAGGUGACUCUGAUGAAUUUAAAAUAUUUGCAGAUUCCUUGACACUCCUCACAGAAAAGAUGGAGUCUAAUUCCCCUCACCUUGAAUAUGGGCCGGGCUGUGUGACAUCUGAUCUCUCUGUGGGGCCAGUGUCCCGGGAGCCCUGAGUUACCCUGAAGCCACCAUGCUGGGGAGACCACCCUGACGUAGGGAGAUGUGCCCAAGGCCCCCAGCACCAGCCACAGCACAGAAAGAAGCUAAGGCUCCAAGAAGUGAGGUGACCUGUCCACGGUCACAGCACUGGAGGCAGAGCCGGUCCAUCCACCGUCAACAGGCACGUUGAUGACCUUCAGCCAUGAGCCAGGCACUGUGCUUAGGGAUACAGACGACAUCACUACACCCAACCUACACAAGGCCAGGAAGGAGGCAUUAGUACUCCCCAUUCACUGAUGAGAAAACUCAGGCUCAGAAAGUUUCAGUAACUUGCCAAAGGUCACACAAACCAGUAAGUGAUGGAGCAGGAAAUGUGAACCGCAGAUGUGGUUCCAAAGAGCUGCCCGGUCUUUAGAUCCCCGCCUCCCUCCUCGAAUGGCUGUUAAGUGCCUACUCUGGACGGCACUCCGUGUUACACACUGGAAGGGCCCGGCAUAAUCUCCAACUGAGAAACAAAAGCA